rnacentral:rRNA from 1 species
GUGGGGAAUCUUGCGCAAUGGGCGAAAGCCUGACGCAGCCAUGCCGCGUGAAUGAUGAAGGUCUUAGGAUUGUAAAAUUCUUUCACCGGGGACGAUAAUGACGGUACCCGGAGAAGAAGCUCCGGCUAACUUCGUGCCAGCAGCCGCGGUAAUACGAAGGGGGCUAGCGUUGCUCGGAAUUACUGGGCGUAAAGGGCGCGUAGGCGGACAGCUUAGUCAGAGGUGAAAGCCCAGGGCUCAACCUUGGAAUUGCCUUUGAUACUGGCUGUCUUGAGUUUGGGAGAGAUGAGUGGAACUCCGAGUGUAGAGGUGAGAUUCGUAGAUAUUCGGAAGAACACCAGUGGCGAAGGCGACUCACUGGCCCAAUACUGACGCUGAGGCGCGAAAGCGUGGGGAGCAAACAGGAUUAGAUACCCGGGUAGUCC